CCUACGGGAGGCAGCAGUGAGGAAUAUUGGUCAAUGGGCGCGAGCCUGAACCAGCCAAGUAGCGUGAAGGAUGACUGCCCUACGGGUGGUAAACUUCUUUUAUAAAGGAAUAAAGUGAGGCACGUGAGCCUUUUUGUAUGUACUUUAUGAAUAAGGAUAGGCUAACUCCGUGCCAGCAGCCGCGGUAAUACGGAGGAUCUGAGCGUUAUCCGGAUUUAUUGGGAUUAAAGGGAGCGUAGAUGGGUUGUUAAGUCAGUUGUGAAAGUUUGCGGCUCAACCGUAAAAUUGCAAUUGAUACUGGCAGCCUUGAGUACAGUUGAGGUAGGCGGAAUUCGUGGUGUAGCGGUGAAAUGCUUAGAUAUCACGAAGAACUCCGAUUGCGAAGGCAGCAUACUAAACUGCCACUGACAUUGAUGCUCGAAAGUGUGGGUAUCAAACAGGAUUAGAUACCCUAGUAGUC
rnacentral:rRNA from 1 species